ACGGGUGAGUAAUGUCUGGGAAACUGCCCGAUGGAGGGGGAUAACUACUGGAAACGGUAGCUAAUACCGCAUAAUGUCGCAAGACCAAAGAGGGGGACCUUCGGGCCUCUUGCCAUCGGAUGUGCCCAGAUGGGAUUAGCUAGUAGGUGGGGUAACGGCUCACCUAGGCGACGAUCCCUAGCUGGUCUGAGAGGAUGACCAGCCACACUGGAACUGAGACACGGUCCAGACUCCUACGGGAGGCAGCAGUGGGGAAUAUUGCACAAUGGGCGCAAGCCUGAUGCAGCCAUGCCGCGUGUAUGAAGAAGGCCUUCGGGUUGUAAAGUACUUUCAGCGAGGAGGAAGGCGUUGUGGUUAAUAACCGCAACGAUUGACGUUACUCGCAGAAGAAGCACCGGCUAACUCCGUGCCAGCAGCCGCGGUAAUACGGAGGGUGCAAGCGUUAAUCGGAAUUACUGGGCGUAAAGCGCACGCAGGCGGUCUGUCAAGUCGGAUGUGAAAUCCCCGGGCUCAACCUGGGAACUGCAUCCGAAACUGGCAGGCUAGAGUCUUGUAGAGGGGGGUAGAAUUCCAGGUGU
rnacentral:rRNA from 1 species